rnacentral:lncRNA from 1 species
CUCUUCUCGUAGUUCUAUUCAGAACUAAUAUCUCAGAGAAGCAGGGAAAAAAAAAAAGAAAAAAAAAACAAUACAAAAGUACAAGAGCUAAUGUACAUUCAACUUAUCUUUAUGCCACAUAAUGCAGAAGUGACUAUUCAGAUUUUUCUUCCUAGCCAUCUUAAGAAGCCAACUUCUGUACAGCACAGAGUGCUAUAAAAAUGUUAGCAAGAAUUUUCUUUCUCUAAGGAUCUUUGCUGUUGACCUUCUUCACAUAUGCUUGGCAUUUUCAUCCAUCUGCUUUUGGAUAUACUAACACAUGAGUCAUAAAAAUGUUCUAAAGCAGCCCACCUGCCAAUUUGCUAGGUGUACUUUUCUGAAAGCAGAAAAGGUUGAAAUCAAGGGUUCACACCUGCAGAAAAGGCUAAAAGACUAAUUAUGGAAGUAUGGAACUAGAAUAGCCUCCAGAAGAAUCAGAAAAUUUCCAAAGGAAGAUAACCUAUGUGUUACAACAGACUGAGAUGUCACAGACCUUCUGGGAGGCAACAUUUUCUCAUAACAAUAAAUUUCAGUGAGUUCAUCAUCAUUCAGAUGGUUAAGAAGGCAGUGUGCUGUAUACG